rnacentral:rRNA from 1 species
GACGAACGCUGGCGGCAUGCCUAAUACAUGCAAGUUGAACGAUGAUAUUCUCUGCUUGCUGAGAAUUGAAGAGUAGCGAACGGGUGAGUAACACGUGGGGAACCUGCCCAUGAGAGGGGGAUAACAUUCGGAAACGGAUGCUAAUACCGCAUAAUGCUUUGGACCGCCUGGUCCAGAGACGAAAGACGGCUUUUGCUGUCACUCAUGGAUGGCCCCGCGCCGUAUUAGCUAGUUGGUGAGGUAAUGGCUCACCAAAGCUGUGAUACGUAGCCGCUCUGAGAGGGUGAUUGGCCAGCCUGUCACUGAGAAACGGCCCAGACUCCUACGGGAGGCAGCAGUAGGGAAUCUUCCGCGAUGGGCGAAAGCCUGAUGGAGCAAUGCCGCGUGAAUGAAGAAGGUCUUCGGAUCGUAAAGUUCUGUUAUUAGUGAAGAACAAGUCAAGUAGUAACUGUCUUGACUUUGACGGUACCUAAACAGAAAGUCACGGCUAACUACGUG